UGGUGUAUUCCAAAUGAUGUCUCUGAAAGAUGACCCAUCCAGCUGAAUACAGUAUACACUGAAGUUGGAAGAGCUUUGUGAAGAUCCACACUGACUUCCCAAGGCAACGAAAAGUUGAAAUUGCAUCUCUCUUCCCGAGGGGACAGAUCACAUAGAACGCUUUGUGGAGCUCAGAAACACUUAUUCCACACUGUGCAUCUAUGGGGGAACAAUACAAUGUGAUGUUGGAAGAAAAUGUUUUGCCUCUGUGUGCAGUUUCCAUCCAGAUGAUUGCUCCUGGAGAGUUUCCAGUCCUCUACCAGUCUCAGC